GAUGAACGCUAGCGAUAGGCUUAACACAUGCAAGUCGAGGGGCAGCACAAGGUAGCUUGCUAUCUGGGUGGCGACCGGCGCACGGGUGCGUAACGCGUAUGCAACUUGCCCUAUACAGGAGGAUAACCCGUCGAAAGACGGACUAAUACUGCGUAUGCUCACAACUUGGCAUCAAGUGGUGAGGAAAGAAAUUCGGUAUAGGAUAGGCAUGCGUCCCAUUAGCUUGUUGGUGAGGUAACGGCUCACCAAGGCAACGAUGGGUAGGGGAACUGAGAGGUUUAUCCCCCACUCUGGUACUGAGACACGGACCAGACUCCUACGGGAGGCAGCAGUGAGGAAUAUUGGUCAAUGGGCGCGAGCCUGAACCAGCCAAGUCGCGUGAAGGAUGACUGUCUUAUGGAUUGUAAACUUCUUUUAUACGGGAAUAACAAGAGUCACGUGUGACUCCCUGCAUGUACCGUAUGAAUAAGCAUCGGCUAACUCCGUG
rnacentral:rRNA from 1 species